AAAUGGCCGCAGUAUUUUAACUGUGCAAAGGUAGCAUAAUCAUUAGUCUUUUAAUUGAAGGCUUGUAUGAAUGGCUGGACGAAAUAUUAACUGUUUCAUGAAAAUUGAUUUAGAAUUUUAUUUUUUAGUCAAAAAGCUAAAAUGAUUUUGAAAGACGAGAAGACCCUAUAGAUCUUUAUAAUUUAUGUAUUAUAGUUAUUUAGAUUAUUUAAAUUAUGAUUAUAUAGAUUAUUUUGUUGGGGUGACAUUAAAAUUUAAUUAACUUUUAAUUUAAUUUUACAUUAAUUUAUGAAUGUUUGAUCCACUAAUAGUGAUUAUAAAAUUAAGUUACCUUAGGGAUAACAGCGUAAUUUUUUUGAAGAGUUCAUAUCGAUAAAAAAGAUUGCGACCUCGAUGUUGGAUUAAGAUAUAAUUUUGGGUGCAGCAAUUCAAUUAUUAAGUC
rnacentral:rRNA from 1 species